CCCGCGCCCGCGCGCUGCUGUCCUCGUGGCACUCCGGGCCCCCCGCUCGGCAAGCCCGCCCGGCGCCUGCCUCUUCUCCGCGGCCUCCUGCAGGAGGACAAACCAGAAAGUCCUGACCCCGGCGCCCACGGCGCUGGAGCCGGCGCUUCCCUUUGAAUAACCCUCCGCCCCCGCCGGCCCCCGCCCCGGCGACUCCCGGGCGGUGACCUCAUUCCCAGCGCCCCGAGGAUAAAAGUUUUAUUUCAGAGGGAAGCACAAAGCCACCACUGUGUUGAACAAAGCAGGGCUUCUCCAGGACUCAAGGACGUUGCAGAGGGAGACAGAAAGGCAUUAGCUCUUGACUAAGAGAAGUCCAUGGCCAGGCCUCUGGGGCCCCAGCAGCUCCAUCCCUGUGGCACUCCAGCGCCUGGUCUCACCGUCACCACAGAGACUCCUGUCUCAGGCCCUGUUACGCUUAUUAAAUCAGCCCCAGACCUGAGCCUGCCCCUCCCCCAGCCUGUCCUCCCAGAGGAACAGGACUCAGUUUGCCUCCUGGAUUCCCACAUUCAGCCACUGAAAAAUGUAAAGCCACAGCCUUGGUCUACCUUCUUAUUUACUUUCACACGCUCGUUCAUCCGACUCAUAUCAGCUGAGCGCCUACCAAUGCCAUGUGCAGUCCUAAGUACCGGGAAUUCUGUCCCAUCUUGGGGUUCCCACGUCUGUCCUCUAGCUCAAGUCACAAAGCUGAGUGGAUCGCAGCCCCGCUAUGGUGAUGCUCUCCAACUGGGAUGGUCACAGUCGGUGAUUUUGACCAACCCCCGCUCCCCGCCAUCCUUAGACGUUGUACAUGCUGCUGGAUGCUCCUGAUCCUCCUCGGUGCGGCCCCACGGCCUUUGAAGCACUGAGUGCCGUGAAGCAGGGAGGCUCCAGAGAUCCACAGCAGGAGGAAGGAGGAGGGACUCCCACAUGGGAGCUCGGCACCUGCCCUUUCUGCUCUUCUCUGCAGGCUCUUGAAGCAACCC